rnacentral:lncRNA from 1 species
AUGGCAACUCCAGAAAUGGAACACAAUUGCUGCUUUCCUAUAUGGCUUCAAGUGUGCAAAGGUAUCUAUCCUGGAGAGCUUUUCAGAAAGAUAUCUAAGAGUCACUCAGAGGGUCCUAACGUUGCCUCCUGCAAAAUUAGAAGUAAGAAAGAAAAGAGAAAAAGAGAGCCAGAGGGCUUGAGGGAAGAGGCAGGCCUGCUGUCGCUAUGGAAGGGAAAAGAAAGUGUCAGAUCGCAGCUGGUAAAUAAGAUGUUACAGCGAAGCUUGAAAAGCCGGGUUCUUUCUCCUUUAUAAAGGCUCUACCUGUGUAACAUGAAGGGGCUCAGUGACAGACACAUUAAAACACCAUUAAACUGUGAAAUAGAACACAGUGUGAAAAUAGAUUUAACCUUCACAGCGUAUCGAUCUCUACCCCGCGCCGUGCCCAAGUUCUUGGACAACUGUUUUAUAAUAGGUUUUACUUAUUUUCCUGUUGCUAUUCUGACUUCCUCAGAGGAGGGUGUGAUUUCUAAAAGCCCCUGACAGCUGAGAGAAGCAGGCUGGCUUCUCAGGGAGCGCCUGGCCUUAGAAUGCUCCUACCAGCUGCUCCACAAACAGAAAUCCAUUUUGUGCAAGUGAAGAAUGAUUUUGUGGUGGCUGCUGAGAAGACAGACACCCAGGGGUGAGGAGAACAUUGCCAAGUCCUGAGGGACUGGGUGGGAGACAGGGCUGAGUCUGUGUCUGACUCCACUGAUGGGAAAUGGAGGUGUCAAAUCCUCUUGUGACUUUGUUUCGACUGCAACGAACAGAGUAUAUUGCUGGGUUUUAAACUGGUUCUUAUGUUUUAUUCUUUUCCUUUCAGAGUAUAUAAAUACAUGUACUCCGUCCAAACUCUUAACAGAGAUUCAGUUCUCUCAAAACCAGUCAGUUCUCUAAAACAAAAGGGUCAAGGCUGCUUUAGCUCUCCAAACACUUUUCUGAAUAAAUUUCUUGACACAUAUAAGCAGACCUAUAAAAAGUAAGAUGACAAAAUUAGUUACUUUUUCUGGAAACUUUCAUAUUUAAUUGUGCAAUGGCCCAUAAAGAAUGAAGCAAAUCGGAAGAUAAAUCUAUAUGGCAGAACAAAUAAUGAGCUCAAAAUUUCCUUAUAUGUGGGCCUUGCAUACUAUUUUCUUUCCAGUUGUUUUACUUACAAAAUGAGCACCUAUAAAACAGACCCUUCCUAAAUUGUGGAAUUGGAAAAAGUAAUAAUGAAGAGAUUAGUCUUGAAAAGCUUCAGUAACCAAGCCACUUGUUGUAUGAGCCAUG